rnacentral:misc_RNA from 1 species
AACCAUAGAAACCUGCGGAGUACCUGCGGAGGGAUCAUUAUAGUAUAUGGAAUCUCCAUUCUAUAAACCCACUCUGCGUAUCUUGUAACUGCUGCUUCCAUGGGACUUGGUUCCGCCACACCGGCUUCACGGCUGGUGAGCGCCCAUGGAAGGAGAAACAAAACUCUUCUUUGAAAUGUAGUCAGUCUGAACAAGUUUUUAUAAACGUUAAAACUUUUAGCAACGGAUCUCAGAUCGGAA